GACAGAGGGUGCAAACGUUGUUCGGAAUUACUGGGCGUAAAGCGCGUGUAGGCGGCCAACUAAGUCCGACGUGAAAUCCCCAGGCUUAACCUGGGAACUGCGUCGGAUACUGGAUGGCUUGAGUUCGGGAGAGGGAUGCGGAAUUCCAGGUGUAGCGGUGAAAUGCGUAGAUAUCUGGAGGAACACCGGUGGCGAAGGCGGCAUCCUGGACCGACACUGACGCUGAGGAGCGAAAGCCAGGGGAGCAAACGGG
rnacentral:rRNA from 1 species